rnacentral:lncRNA from 1 species
UAGCGAGCAUCAAAUAUAUUCGCAUACUAGUUUUUCUAGAAUAUGCUAACCACUUAAAAAUGAGCAUCUUCAUAUUUAUAUAAUUUGUUCUCUUUUGAAUAAAACGUGAAACAAGUAAAACCAAUGAAAUAAUAUCUACAACGAGAAGUUUUUCCCAACUUAUUUGGGUCGCUGGGGAGAGCCCAUGUACCAGGCUAUAUCAAUCAAAUACCAUCUAGCCGCCGUUUUGCACCGGUGACCAUGAAACUACAGUAAGGGCCUGCACUCACCCGAACACCUCCACCUUCAGUCAACAGAGGCCACGUGGAGCCGAAGUCCUUCCAAGACUUGAUGACAGCAACGGAGAUCCCUCGACGCCUCGACGGUCGCAUAAGAUAAGUAGCCUCUUGCAGUCAGGUGUUCGCGAAGUGCUACUGAACGAACUAUUUCCUUGACAAUAAGUUUUUAUUUUUUUUUGUUAAUAAAUUUCAAUUUUCCUUUGUUCAGUAUUUUGAAUGGCGAUAAUGUGUAUUUAAUUGAUUUAAUAAGGUCAAUAAAUGAAUAUGUGAACA